rnacentral:lncRNA from 1 species
AGGGUGGCGUUAAGGCUGAGCAGGACACUGGAAAGGCCAGAACAAAGGUGGUUGUUUCCCGCUCACAGAGAGCCUCCUUACAGUUCCGGGUGGGCCAUAUUCAUAGACAGACACCUCAAAUGUAGGACGACCAGUCAUGGAUGUGUAGGGGCGUGACUGCCACUGUGAACAGUGCAGCCAUCCUUGGAUACCUCACUGCAGAGAUACUUGAAGUGACAUCAAAGGCACCAAAAGAUUUAAAGGUAAAGCUAUUACCCCUCAUCAUUUGCAACCUGCUAUUAGUGAAGAAGAAGAAUUGGACUCUCUCAUCAAGGCUACAAUUGCUGGUGAUGGUGUCAUUCCACACAUUCGCAAGUCUCUGAUUGGGAAGAAAGAACAACAGAAGACUAUGUAA